AUUUUUUUUAGAUAAUUUAUACCAUUUUUAUUAGUGGAUGAAAACAAAAAGAGAACGAUGGAGAGUAGGGUUUGAAUGUAAAAGAAAAGAAAAUUAGAGAGAAAUAAAUAAAUGAGGAUAAAAGAGAAAAAAAUGGAGAGAUGAAUAAUGUAAUUUUGAUAUAAAAAAUAAUUAUUUGACUAAAUAGUUAAUAGAAUCAAAUUAUAAGGACUAAUUAAAAUAUUUUUCUAAAACAUAUAGAUCAACAAAUUAUUUUUAUUAAAAUAAAGGAACGAAAUAAUAACCUGACUAGUAUUAUUAAUAAAAAAAAUUAAUAAAG
rnacentral:misc_RNA from 1 species